AGUGAGAAGUGACAGAGGAAACCGAAAAGGAAUGUAUUCAUUCCACCAACAGUUAUGUAUAAAUACAUUCAUCUAAGGAAGAAGGCUGACUGAAGCAUCCCCCUGCUUUGGGAGGAUGAAGGAAGGGGAAGAAUAUUUCAAUGUGGGUUGCAGUGUCUUAAGAAAUCCACAGUGCCUCGAAGAAUGUAGACAUCGCAAACAAAAGAACUGAAGAUUAAAAAAGUGCACAGAGCUGGACUUGGGGGGUGGGGGAUGCGGAUGGAAAGCUUUUGCUUGCCUCCUUGCAACUUUGUUUCACUGGAAUAGAACUCAAGAUUCUCUGCGCAAUUUCAAGGCGUCAGCCUGACAGUUUCCGAAGGUCUUAUUCCCCCUCCCCCUUCCCCAC